UCAUCAUUCACUGCUUUGUUUAGUGCACUAGCUAAGAAGAAGCAUUAUUUUGAAGUGAUUUCGCUUUAUAAGCUAUUGAAUUCAACUGGGUUGUCUCCAGAUUUGAUGUCUUUGAACAUUUUGAUGAAUUGCUUUUGUAAUAUUAAAAGGGUUUCGGAUAGUUUUGCGCUUUUGGGGGGGAUUUUGACCUAAUGCUGUGACUUUCACUUGUUUGAUUAAAGGUCUUUAUGUAAAGAAAAAGAUUAUGGAGUCAAUGGAAUUGUUUCAGAAAAUGGUUGUUAUUGGUUGUAGGCCUGAUGUCAUCGCUUGCAACACUUUGAUGGAUGGAUUGUGUAAAACAGGGAAGAUAAGUGUUGCCAUUAAGUUGCUUGAAGAAAUGGCUAAAGGGAAUGAAGAAUCUGGUGUUAUUUGUAGGCCAGAUGUUGUUAGUUAUAGUACUAUAAUUGAUGGUCUUUGUAAGGCAGGAUUAAUUGAGAAAGCAAGAGAAUUGUAUUUUGAAAUGAAGGGUUUGGAACUUAGUCUAAACCUUUAUACUUAGAACAUUUUAAUGAAUGGUUAUUGCUUGGCUGAUAGAAUUAGUGAUGCAAGGGAGUUGUUUGAUUCUGUAACUAGAAAGGGGUAUGGACCUGAUGUUGUUAGCUACAAUACUUUAAUAAAUUGGUGUUGCAAGAAUAAAGAAGUCAACAAAGCUCUUUAUCUUUAUCAGAAGAUGAUUUAUGAAGGAAUUAGGCUUGCUGUGGCAAUUUAUAGCACUUUGUUAAGUGGCCUUUUUCUUAAAGCUAAUGUAAAAAAUGCACGGAAUUUAGUUGGUGAGAUGCAACUUAAUGGUGUUUUACCUAAUUCUUGGACAUAUAACAUUUUCAUUGAUGGACUUUGCAAGAAUGGAUGUGUUUUGGAGGCGGUGGAAAGGUUUAAUACUCUAGUAAAUAAUAAGUUUGCGGUUAGCCUUGAAGGUUUGAAUUCCCUCAUUGAUGGAUUAUGUAAAACAGGGAGAUUCGAAACUGGAUGGGACCUAUUUCAGAAAUUUUGUCUUCAUGAAAACCUAGUACCAAACAUUGUGACAUAUAGCAUCUUGAUCAAUGGGCUUUGUAAAACUAGACGACUAGAAAAGGCAAAUGAGUUGUUGUCAUAUAUGGAGGAAAAAGGAUGUGCUCUAGAUGUAGUCACAUUUAAUAUGCUCAUGUUCGGUUUCCUCAAAAGUAAUAAGAUAGCAAAAGUUGUUGAACUCCUUCAUAAGAUGGCAGAGAGAAAUGUGAAGCCAACUGAAUUGACAAUGUCCUUAGUGAUGCAGCUAAUAAUGAAGGCUGGAAAUUAUUGUGAAUGUUUGAACCAGCUUCCUCAAUUUCUGGUCCAAAAGCGAAAUUGAAGUUUACGUGAUAAAACUUUAGUGAGUAUUAAACUUUUUUAGGAGCAGAAUCCUGCAAAAGUUCAUCCUUCUACCCAAAUGCUCUAUUUUGGUUACAGUGAGAAGAAGGUUCAGUAAAUACUUUCAUCUGUUCAAAUUUGAUAGGGAUGGUGAUGGGGAUGAUUGAGAAUAAUGGCUUCCCUGAUCAGACAUACGAUACAUGAUCUGUCUCUGUUGUAAGUGCAUAUAGUAGAGGUGGCAGCAUUGCAGGCUGCGGUAGCAUUUGCACAUGAAGUAGGUCUUAAGGGUUUGAGGAUUAUUUCUGGUGCAAAUUUCAGUAAGUAAAAGUUGUAUGUGAGAAAUUGUGGAAUAGUUCUUACUUCAACUACGACAAUAAUGGUAGCUGCUCAAGUUCAUCUAUUCAAGCUUAUCAGUUUACUGGACAAUGUUAUGCACGAGCAUGUGCUCUUUCAAUGAUAGUCGAUGAAGACAAAACAAGAAGAGCAUUAGAGAAGGUUUUUAACUAUAAUGUCUUAAAGAAUAUGGAUGCAGAGCAGGGGCUGGUCAAUGGGAUCUACCUGUUGGAACGGUUGACAUGACAACAUUGCAGUCAAGAGAAAUAUGGUUUGGUGUUACCUAUGCAGCUGUUGUAAUGGUGAUCCAUGGAGAUUUGGUCGAUAUGCAAUUAUUGCCAUUGAAAACUAUGAAACAUCAUGGUCUGGAAAUGGGAUUUCAAAUUGCCGCUGAAAUCUAUGAAGUAGAAUGGCAUGAAAAUGGACUCGGUUAUUCUUUCUGAACUCCUAAAGCCUGGACCACCGUUGAAGCUAAGCAUUUUGAUGAGAAUCUUGGGUCUAAUAAAUGCAUCAAGGUUCAAAAUUAUCAAGAAUGGGUAGAAUCGCAAGCCAAAGCACUUGUGAAUAAUAAUGAUGUUACUGAAGACAAUGCAGAAAAUUCAACUCUCGUAGAAGUGAUUUUUCCUGGUGUGACUAAUGAUUAUGAGUGUGCUGAGUCCUGACCUUGGAGAUUUAUUUGUUGAUGAAGAGCAAGUACAAUCUUCUUUCCAAGUAGUUGAUGGUGUCAGAACUUAGCAUAAAAGAGAGGCAAGAGAAGCAAUUGUAUUGCCGAAGUAUGCCAAAGAGAAGAAAAAGAAUGCUCAAGGAAAAGUAUAUUGAAUUGUUGUAUUGUGUAUGUUUGUACAGAGAUGAAUUUAUGCAGAAAAGUUUAAGCAAACUAUGGUAAUACAAAUCUCAUCAUAAAGAUGGAAUCACAUGAAAUUCGGGAAGCACAAUCACAGCAUGUAAUCAAGCAUAAUCAAAGCAUGUAAUCAAGCACAAUCAUAGCAUUCCAUAUUUCAUUAGAUGGUAGUAGAAGCAAGUCUGCAACUGCUAUAGGUUCAAGUGUAGAUGUAGAGCCUCCUUCUAAAGUUAGUGGAGAUGAUUUGACAACAUUCUUUGUUGAGUUGAAUGAUGAUAAGUAUUAGAAGGAGCUAUUUCCAGAGGAUGAGGAAGUUGUUUCAAAUUCCAUAAGUUUGGAUGAAGAGCCUUGGAAGCGGAGAAGAUUUGGAAAAUUAUGAGUUCUAUGAGGAGCUAUUCCAUGAAAAACAAGUACAAUCCCCUUUCCAGACGAUAGUUGAUGAUGGUAGUGCGACAAAGACUGAAACUAAUACAAAUUCAAGUGUAGAUGAAGACCCUCCUAACGGAAGUGAAGACAAUUUGAUGACACUCUUUUAUGGGUUGGAUGAUAAUGAGUUCUAUAAGGAGUUAUUCCCGAAGAUGAAGUAGUUCUUUUAGAUUCCAUGAGUUUGGCUGAUAUUGGGCACUUAAGGAGCUCAUUGCCUUUGGUGAUUGUAUAAAGCUUUUUCAUGG